rnacentral:rRNA from 1 species
GACGAACGCUGGCGGCGUGCUUAACACAUGCAAGUCGAACGGAAAGGCCCUGCUUGCAGGGUACUCGAGUGGCGAACGGGUGAGUAACACGUGGGUGAUCUGCCCUGCACUUCGGGAUAAGCCUGGGAAACUGGGUCUAAUACCGGAUAGGAGCCAUUUUUAGUGUGAUGGUUGGAAAGUUUUUUCGGUGUAGGAUGAGCUCGCGGCCUAUCAGCUUGUUGGUGGGGUAAUGGCCUACCAAGGCGGCGGCGGGUAGCCGGCCCGGGAGGGUGGACGGCCACAUUGGGACUGAGAUACGGCCCAGACUCCUACGGGUGGCAGCAGUGGGGAAUAUUGCUCAAUGGGCGCAAGCCUGAUGCAGCGACGCCGCGUGGGGGAUGACGGCCUUCGGGUUGUAAACUCCUUUCGCUAGGGACGAAGCUUUUUGUGACGGUACCUAGAUAAGAAGCACCGGCUAACUACGUG